rnacentral:tRNA from 1 species
GAGGGUAUAGCUCAGUGGGAGAGCACGUGCUUGGCAUGCAGGAGGUCUGGGUUCAAUCCCCAAUACUGUGU